GACGAACGCUGGCGGCGCGCCUAACACAUGCAAGUCGAACGGGGUCUUUUAGGAAGCUUGCUUCCUGGCUGACCUAGUGGCGGACGGGUGAGUAACACGUGAGCAACCUGCCGGGGAGUGGGGGAUAACGUCUGGAAACGGACGCUAAUACCGCAUAACAUAUCGGGAUGGCAUCAUCCUGGUAUCAAAGGAGAAAUCCGCUCUUUGAUGGGCUCGCGGCCGAUUAGGUAGUUGGUGGGGUAAAGGCCCACCAAGCCGACGAUCGGUAGCCGGACUGAGAGGUUGAUCGGCCACAUUGGGACUGAGACACGGCCCAGACUCCUACGGGAGGCAGCAGUGGGGAAUAUUGCACAAUGGGGGAAACCCUGACGCAGCAACGCCGCGUGAUUGAAGAAGGCCUUCGGGUUGUAAAGAUCUUUAAUCAGGGACGAAGGAAGUGACGGUACCUGAAGAAUAAGCUCCGGCUAACUACGUGCCAGCCGCCG
rnacentral:rRNA from 1 species